rnacentral:rRNA from 1 species
ACGCUGGCGGCGUGCCUAACACAUGCAAGUCGAGCGAGUGGAUUCCUCGGGAAAGAGCUAGCGGCGGACGGGUGAGUAACACGUGGGCAACCUGCCUCAUAGAGGGGAAUAGCCUCCCGAAAAGGGGAGAUUAAUACCGCAUAAGAUUGUAGCUUCGCAUGAAGUAGCAAUUAAAGGAGCAAUCCGCUAUGAGAUGGACCCGCGUCUGAUUAGCUAGUUGGUGAGGUAACGGCCCCACCAAAGGCGACGAUCAGUAGCCGGCCUGAGAGGGUGAACGGCCACAUUGGGACUGAGACACGGUCCAAACUCCUACGGGAGGCAGCAGUGGGGAAUAUUGCACAAUGGGCGAAAGCCUGAUGCAGCAACGCCGCGUGAGCGAAGAAGGCCUUCGGGUUGUAAAGCUCUGUCCUUGGGGAAGAAGAACUGACGGUACCCUUGGAGGAAGCCCCGGCUAACUACGUG